CCCAGGGAAACUUGGAGUAAUACCGUAUACGCCCUACGGGGGAAAGAUUUAUCGCCUUUGGAUCGGCCCGCGUUGGAUUAGGUAGUUGGUGGGGUAAUGGCCUACCAAGCCGACGAUCCAUAGCUGGUUUGAGAGGAUGAUCAGCCACACUGGGACUGAGACACGGCCCAGACUCCUACGGGAGGCAGCAGUAGGGAAUCUUAGACAAUGGGCGCAAGCCUGAUCUAGCCAUGCCGCGUGUGUGACGAAGGCCUUAGGGUCGUAAAGCACUUUCGCCAGGGAUGAUAAUGACAGUACCUGGUAAGGAAACCCCGGCUAACUCCGUGCCAGCAGCCGCGGUAAUACGGAGGGGGUUAGCGUUGUUCGGAAUUACUGGGCGUAAAGCGCACGUAGGCGGACUGGAAAGUUGGGGGUGAAAUCCCGGGGCUCAACCCCGGAACGGCCUCCAAAACUAUCAGUCUAGAGUUCGAGAGAGGUGAGUGGAAUUCCGAGUGUAGAGGUGAAAUUCGUGGAUAUUCGGAGGAACACCAGUGGCGAAGGCGGCUCA
rnacentral:rRNA from 1 species